AGAGCUCGUAGGCGGUUUGUCGCGUCUGCUGUGAAAACCCGAGGCUCAACCUCGGGCCUGCAGUGGGUACGGGCAAACUAGAGUGCGGUAGGGGAGAAUGGAAUUCCUGGUGUAGCGGUGGAAUGCGCAGAUAUCAGGAGGAACACCGAUGGCGAAGGCAGUUCUCUGGGCCGUAACUGACGCUGAGGAGCGAAAGCGUGGGGAGCGAACAGGAUUAGAUACCCUGGUAGUCCACGCCGUAAACGUUGGGCGCUAGAUGUGGGGACCAUUCCACGGUUUCCGUGUCGCAGCUAACGCAUUAAGCGCCCCGCCUGGGGAGUACGGCCGCAAGGCUAAAACUCAAAGG
rnacentral:rRNA from 1 species